GAUGAACGCUGGCGGCACGCCUAACACAUGCAAGUCGAACGGACGAGAGGAAAGCUUGCUUUUCUCGAGUUAGUGGCAGACGGGUGAGUAACACGUGAGCAACCUGCCUUUAAGAGGGGGAUAGCUUCUGGAAACGGAUGGUAAUACCCCAUAAUAUAUCGUUAUCGCAUGAUAGUGAUAUCAAAUGAAUCUCGCUUAAAGAUGGGCUCGCGUCUGAUUAGAUAGUUGGUGAGGUAACGGCUCACCAAGUCGACGAUCAGUAGCCGGACUGAGAGGGUGAUCGGCCACACUGGAACUGAGACACGGUCCAG
rnacentral:rRNA from 1 species